rnacentral:rRNA from 1 species
UACGGAGAGUGCAAGCAUUAAUCGGAAUUAUUGGGCGUAAAGGGCGCGUAGGCGGGAAGAUAAGUCAGAUGUGAAAUUCCGAAGCUCAACUUCGGAGCUGCAUUUGAAACUAUCAUUCUAGAGGGUUGACGGAGAAAACGGAAUUCCACGUGUAGCGGUGAAAUGCGUAGAUAUGUGGAAGAACACCUGUGGCGAAAGCGGUUUUCUAGUUAAUACCUGACGCUGAGGCGCGAGAGCAAGGGGAGCAAACAGG